CCCGUCUCUACUAAAAAUACAAAAAAUAGCCGGGCAUGGGCAUCUGUAAUCCUAGGUACUCGAGAGGCUGAGGCAGGAGAAUUGCUUGAACCUGGGGGGUGGAGGUUGCAGUGAGCUGAGAUCGUGCCACUGCACUCCAACCUGGGCAACAGAGAGAGACUCUGUCUCAAAAAAAUAAAAAAAGAAUAUAUCAGAGAGCAGAAUGGUAGCAGUUCCUCUCAUGAAGGGGUUUAGAAGCACAGUCUAGAAGCACAACUGCCAUUAGACCAUCUCUGAAAUAAGAGGUUAUGAUUGUUUGGAUUUUCCUGGGGUAUAGAAUACCAGUCAUGGAGAUGAUACAACAAUAGAACCUUAGGAACCUAAAGGAUCUAUCUGUUCAUUCAUUCACUCACUCACUCACUAAACUUUAUACAGUUAUUAUUACUUGUUAAAUACAAGAUGAAUCAGAAACAAGUCUACCCUUAGAAUUUAGAAUCUAUUUGAGAAAAGAGACUGGAAAAAAUUUCGAGUUAGAUAGAGAGUAUAAAAAUAUAGGUCAGAAAAUAUGUUAUUGUGACACAUGAGUAAGUGGGGGUAAAUGUGCCUGGAGAGGUCAAGGAAAGUCUUUCUUUCUCUCUCUCUCUCUCUUUUCUUUUUUUUUUUUUUUUUUUUUUUUUUUUUUUUUUUUGGAGACAGAGUUUCAUUCUUGUUACCCAGGCUGGAGUGCAAUGGCACGAUCUCAGUUCACUGUAACCUCAGCCUCCUGGGUUCAAGUGAUUCUCCUGCCUCAGCCUGCCGAGUAGCUGGGAUUACAGCAUGGGCCACCACGCUUGGCUAAUUUCUGUAUUUUUAGUAGAGACUAGAUUUUGCCAUGUUGAACAGGCUGGUCUCGAAUUCCUGAUCUCAGGUGAUCCAUGAGGUCAAGGAAAGCUUUCUGGAGGAGGUGAAAUCUGAAUGAAAUCUGGUAUUUGAAAAAGACUAGCAUGUAGGUAGACGUAGUGGGAGUGCUGGGGACUUUGGUCAGUUGGAUGGUGCAUUCUCGAUGAGAGAUCAUCCUACCUAAAGGAUUAGAGAAAACAAAGAAAAGUUAUCUGAAUAACUAAAAGUAACUUGGCUAAACCACGGAGUAGUACUGAGAAGCGAAUGUUUCCAUUUAGGAGUUUGGACUUGAUGUUUUAGAUUCUUGAUGUAUGUGACUUUCCAAGGGAAAAGAGUCAGGGGCAUAUUUGUAGUUUAGGAAAACAUUCUCAACAUGGUAUGAAAUAUGGUUUGUAGGGGCCUGGAUAGGAAAGAGGAAAAGGAGAGUAAAGGUGCUAGGCCAGAGAGAAAGGUGAGAGUCUUCUCAUGGAGAAGACACUUUCCACAAGAAAGAUUCCAGUACUUUCAACUGCUGGUGAGGGGGCAAGUAAGAUGAAAAAUACCAUGCACCUGUGAAGUCGUCAAUUAGCGUAUCCUUCCUGAAACUAACCAGAACGUUUCAGGAGCGAAUGAAAGGGGAAGUCCUUUGGCAGAGGUCUGAAGAGUGAAAGGGAGAGCCCUAGGUAGAACAGCAAACUAGCAUGGUAUCGGUUUGUGGCAAUAAUGUGAAAAGAAAGUACAAAAAUGGAGGAGGGAACAAGGUGGGAGUCAGAGUGUUAGAGACUUUGUUUACAUGUGGAAAGCCAUAUCAUGGGGCACAGGACUGGAAGACUAGGCUUCCUUCUGAGGACAAUAGCUAGCAAAAGAGCUUUGAGUUUGGCUCUUUUCUCUCUCCCUCACUGCCUGGCUGGAUGGCUGCCCAGCCA
ensembl:lncRNA